rnacentral:piRNA from 1 species
CUCUCCUGUUUCUUAUGUGCCACAGCAAGU